AGCGGCGGGGCGCGCACAGCGCUCCGCGUACGGCCGUGCCUGCGGAGCCGGAGCGCUGGAGUCUGCCUCCCGCCUCCCUCCCACUGCCCCGUCUCUGACCCGACAGCGGUUUUGUUUGCAGAGGAGGUGGCUGCGUGCCUGGCAGGACGAUGUCGAAAGUUCCCGGACAGCGGGGGAGAGAAGGGGAAACCAAGAUAAAAGAAAAAUCUCAACCAAGCGGCUCGGCAAGCUGGAGUCUGUCGGAAGAACUAGUUCGAGGCCACAACUCAAUCCGCCGCGAAAAGCCUGGGAGCCCUGCCCUCACAGCGAAAGGCUGAUGAUACUAAAAGGAAAUUAAGAUGUAAAUGGAUUUCUGCGGGCUGGCGACGAGCGGCACCGUGUUGUAAAUAAAUUGCUUCUCAUUCGUGUGCUUGCUAAUACAACUGGAGCGCCUUGCCCAGCCCUCAGCUCCAGGCACCCCUCGCCACUCUGGAGCGUUUCGGGGCGGCUGGGGAGCGCGGGAGGGGGUCAGGGAGCGCUGGGCAUCGCCAGUCCCGCUCAAAGCAGGGUCGCAGCUUUUAUUCCAGUGGGUGAAGAAUGACGUCAUGAACUGGCAGGAUUAGGUAGUGAAUGAUGGAAGUAAAAUCACGUUAAAAUAACAUUUACCUUUGGUUAUUAGCAGUCUGUGACUUCUGGCAUUUAUCUCUAUGUCACAUAUGAAAUACAGCUGCUUGAUGAUCUUUUUGUCUUUGGGGCUUGGGCUCCUGGUGUCCAAGACACUGCGAGGAUGUGUUUGUUGGUUUUAAACCAGUUCUUUCUAAAUUAGACUUGUGGUGGUGGAAGUAUUUUUGUUGGCUAUCACUUUCAAUUAAAGCUUUCUUUUUAUUUCAAGUGAAAGCGUGGCCAACUUUAAUGCAUACUUAUUCCCAGUGGGUUACAAAUAAAACGGUAAAAACAAGAAUCUAGAUAACACUGCAAUUAAGGGUUUGAGCUGGCAAACUCGAAUAUAUGAGCUCAGGUUCUAGGUUCUCAUUUUUUCCCAGCACAGAUCCUCUGUUUUCUAUGCUACUCAGUUGGCUAGACCCUCGUUUCAAUCAAGUCUUCACCCAUCCCCCCCAUGGAAGUGUGAGUUGCAACAUGUCAAUGAUUUGUGCACAUUUUGGAUUAUUUUUACCUAUAAUACAUCAUCGUCAAAGUUAGGCACACAGCUGUAUCAUUUCCAGUGAUCGCCCAACCGUGCUGUUGUCAGGACACUGUUCUAUUAUCUUUUUGUGGUGCGUUUUUUUAUGUGAUGCAAUCUUCAUGAAGGGACAUGAACUUUUAGAUGUGUGGGGGUAAGGCAGCUACCUCAAAAGUUAACGCAAGGGGGCAGAACAGCAUUAAUUGUUGUGUUUCUUGACGUCAGACUUUUUAUUUUGAAUUGUGAUCACUCUCUUCGUCUGUUACUUGUCUGGAAAUUCCCAGCCUUCUCGAAAAAAGUUCUUAGUUCCCCAAAGCCUUGGUAAGCUAGGCUUAUGUUGCAAUACAAAUUCUAUUUUUUUUUAAAUUUUAUUUUACAUUUUUUUUCCUGGUCUCAUAAUUUAUCCAAAUUUCCUGUACUUUAAAUGCUGCAGUUAUAGCUUCUAAAAAUUAGAAACUAUAGCUAGUCUUGAAAGUGCUACCUUUGGAACUACAAAACUGAUAACAAAAAACCUUCUCAUCAGUAAUUUAACUUACAGUAAAUUUAACUUUAAAAUGCGCCUUCUAGUAGAUCUGUCACUAAAAAUCCAGAAAUGAACAGUUAAACCAAUGCUUAUGCUAAUAAACUCUCUAGGUUCACAAUGUCCAGAGACACAUAAAAUUGUAUUUCUGAUCAGCCAAUGUCAAUCCUACCACAGUGCAAUAAAUUAUCAUAUUCAGACAUAA